rnacentral:lncRNA from 1 species
GUUCAUAGGAUAGGAAUUAUUCCAUAUACAUAAGCUAGUUUUUUAUUUUGAAACGUGAAAUAUAGAAAUCCUGCGUAGUAAUAAGAAUCGAACAAACCAUGGCCUCAUUUGGUUUCGAGGAAUUUUGUAGGGAUUCUAGAGGAUAGGAAUUUUAUAGAAGUAGCAAUUAAAACCGACCCAGCUUGAUAUCUAUUUGGCUUUUUUAUGGAACGUUAGUUUGGGGGCGUAUUCUUCACGUGUAUGCAUGUUUUUGGUGUGAGGAGAGUCGAGGCGGGUGCACAUCUUUGAUCAUGCAAAUUCCUAUUUGGAGUAGUUUGGAAAAAAAAUAGGGUAGGAAAAUUUGAUAUCCACGGUAAACAUUUAUUAACUACCAGAUAUAGCAUUUCUCGUUUAGAUUCGGGGCUAUAGCACACCAUUAGUAGAUCAUUCUCUACAGCCAAAUCAUGCGCUCUAUACUUUACUACCAUGGCUAUCUGUUUCUGAUCUAAUAUAUGUGAAACAUUGUUAUGAUCUUGUUCACUUUCAUGACUUGCCUGUACGAGCAUGCACAAAGGUCUAGAUGCUCUCCAAGCGUCGCAACAUGUGUGUCCACAUGCCUAGAGUGAUCACUCAACUUUCUUACUCUCUCAAAUACAUGGAUUACCAAAACAUAUUCCUGACACAUCCUAAUCCUAUCUAAUUGCAAUGAUGGAUUAGCAGGCACUAGGAUGUCAAGAAUCAUGGAUUUGAGAGAAGAAAAACAAUGGAGCUUGUGGAGAGGUGGGAGAAAAGAGUCCAUAACAUCUUUCACUUGGAUCUCACAAUACAUAUCAAGAAAGAAAUAUAUAGGGCUCAAGCUACCCAUACCAUCUCUUCAACCCACGCCCCACCUGCCAGCCUACACUCACCUCCUCAUAUAAAGUAUAAUAGGUGCACAACACUAAUUACUCCACUAUUUGAGACUUUUUCCAAAGUCAUUAAUCAUAGGUGACAUGUGGGAGAGAAAGCUUAUCAUCUAGGACGACGAUUUGUACACUUAGAUACAACCAUGUGUAAGCUUGAAACUAGAACAUG